GGGAAGAAAAGAUUCGAGAGAGAGAGAAGCUGAAGAGGGAAGGAACGAGAAGAGAGAGCGGGAGAAGAAAGACGGUGACGGUGCGAGCUACAGAAGUGUGGAAAGAAAAAAUGGAGACUGGAGAUGAAGUAGGAAUGAAGUCGGGAUCGCAGUUACCGGUUUCCGAACCUAGCAUAUAAAGAAAACGGAGUAGGGAUUACUGCCGGUAUAAUUGUAAACUUACAUAGUUGGUAGUAAUGUGGAUCAUAUGUAAACUAAGAAUGUAUGAAUUUGUAUUCUACUGUAUUGAUACAUUUAUGGUUGAGGGUUUCUAUU